GACGAACGCUGGCGGCGUGCUUAACACAUGCAAGUCGAACGCUUAAGGCCUGGCUUUUGUUCGGUUGGGUUAGUGGCGAACGGGUGAGUAACACGUGGGUAACCUGCCCUCUUCUUUGGGAUAACUCCCGGAAACGGGUGCUAAUACUGGAUAUUCUCUUGUCUUCGCAUGGGGGUUGGUGGAAAGGUUUUUUCUUGUGGGUUAUAGGCUCUUGGCGGAUCAGCUUGGUGGUGGGUUGGUUGCCGACCAAGGCUGUGACGGGUAGGCGGCCUGAGAGGGUGAACGGUCACAUUGGGACGGAGAUACGGCCUAGACUAGUAAGGGAGGCAGCAGUGGGGAAUAUUGCCCAAUGGGCGAAAGCCUGAUGCAGCGACGCCGCGUGAGGGCUGGAGGUCGUAGGGUUGUAAAACUCUUUAGCUAAUGGUGAAGAAGCAACUGUGCGUUGUGGUGAGGGUAGUGGGUAAAGAAGCGCCGGCUAACUACGU
rnacentral:rRNA from 1 species